GGUGAGUAACGCGUAGGUAAUCUACCCUUGGGGUUGGAAUAACCCGCCGAAAGGCGGGCUAAUACCGGAUAAAAUCUUUCGGAGGGAUCCGAAAGAGCAAAGGUGGCCUCUCCAUGGAUGCUACUGCCGAGGACGAGCCUAGCUUCCCACGACCCGGAUGGUUGGGUAAUGGCCUACCCAGGCUACGAUGGGUAGCAGGCCCGAGAGGAUGAUCAGCCGCACUGGGAACUGGGAGCACAGGCCCACGACUCCUAUGGGAGGCAGGCACGCAGAGGAAACCUGCCGCAAACGGGGGAAACCCAGACAGCACCGACCCACGAGUGGGAGAAAAGAGGCCUACCGGGUCACAAAGCCCAGCCCACGAGGGAAGAGCUUCCCCAGCGGAACACAAACCAGCGCGGCAUUGACAGAACCCUCCGGCAGCGAAAGCACCAGGUCUACCCCGAUGCGAGCCACACGCAGGACACAACA
rnacentral:rRNA from 1 species